rnacentral:tRNA from 1 species
GGGCAGAUGGCCGAGUGGUUAAGGCGCUGGCUUUAGGCGGCUUGGCACGCUGUGGACCUCACGGGGCUCAGGUAUGUCAUGCAAGACUUGAAUCGCCAGUUCGAAAGAGCGUGGGUUCGAACCCCACUCUGCUCA